rnacentral:antisense_RNA from 1 species
UGUGGGAGCGGGCUUGCCCGCGAAUGCAGUGGUUCAGUCAAUACAUACUUCACUGAACCACUGCAUUCGCGGGCAAGCCCGCUCCCACA